UGCAAGUCGAACGAGAAUCUACUGAAAGAGUUUUCGGACGAUGGAAGUAGAGGAAAGUGGCGGACGGGUGAGUAACGCGUGAGGAACCUGCCUUGAAGAGGGGGACAACAGUUGGAAACGACUGCUAAUACCGCAUGAAGCAUAGGGGUCGCAUGAUUCUUAUGCCAAAGAUUUAUCGCUUCAAGAUGGUCUCGCGUCUGAUUAGCUAGUUGGCGGGGUAACGGCCCACCAAGGCGACGAUCAGUAGCCGGACUGAGAGGUUGAACGGCCACAUUGGGACUGAGAUACGGCCCAGACUCCUACGGGAGGCAGCAGUGGGGAAUAUUGGGCAAUGGGCGCAAGCCUGACCCAGCAACGCCGCGUGAAGGAAGAAGGCUUUCGGGUUGUAAACUUCUUUUAAGAGGGAAGAGCAGAAGACGGUACCUCUAGAAUAAGCCACGGCUAACUACGUGCCAGCAGCCGCGGUAAUACGUAGGUGGCAAGCGUUGUCCGGAUUUACUGGGUGUAAAGGGCGUGCAGCCGGGUCUGCAAGUCAGAUGUGAAAUCCAUGGGCUCAACCCAUGAACUGCAUUUGAAACUGUAGAUCUUGAGUGUCGGAGGGGCAAUCGGAAUUCCUAGUGUAGCGGUGAAAUGCGUAGAUAUUAGGAGGAACACCAGUGGCGAAGGCGGAUUGCUGGACGAUAACUGACGGUGAGGCGCGAAAGUGUGGGGAGCAAACAGGAUUAGAUACCCUGGUAGUCCACACUGUAAACGAUGAAUACUAGGUGUGC
rnacentral:rRNA from 1 species